ensembl:snoRNA
UUACUAUGAUGGUUGCAUAGAUUAUAUCAUGAAAGAGAUAUACCAUUUGUCUGAUGUAGAA